AACGAACGCUGGCGGCAGGCUUAACACAUGCAAGUCGAACGCCCCGCAAGGGGAGUGGCGCACGGGUGAGUAACGCGUGGAUAUCUGCCUUUUGGUUCGGAAUAACCCCGGAAACUGGGGCUAAUACCGGAUGGUUCCUACGGGAUAAAGAUUUAUCGCCAAAAGAUGAGUCCGCGUACGAUUAGCUAGUUGGUGAGGUAAUGGCUCACCAAGGCGACGAUCGUUAGCUGGUCUGAGAGGACGAUCAGCCGCACUGGGACUGAGACACGGCCCAGACUCCUACGGGAGGCAGCAGUGGGGAAUAUUGGACAAUGGGGGCAACCCUGAUCCAGCCAUGCCGCGUGAGUGAUGAAGGCCUUCGGGUUGUAAAGCUCUUUUGGCGGGGACGAUGAUGACGGUACCCGCAGAAUAAGCCCCGGCUAACUUCGUG
rnacentral:rRNA from 1 species